rnacentral:rRNA from 1 species
UACGUAGGGACCGAGCGUUGUCCGGAUUCAUCGGGCGUAAAGAGCUCGUAGGCGGCCACUCAAGUCGAAUGUGAAACCUCGAGGCUUAACCUCGAGCCUGCAUUCGAUACUGGGCGGCUAGAGUCUGGUAGGGGGAUCUGGAAUUCCUGGUGUAGCGGUGGAAUGCGCAGAUAUCAGGAGGAACACCGGUGGCGAAGGCGGGAUCCUGGGCCAGUACUGACGCUGAGGAGCGAAAGCGUGGGGAGCAAACAGG